CCUACGGGGGGCAGCAGUGGGGAAUAUUGCACAAUGGGGGAAACCCUGAUGCAGCGACGCCGCGUGAGCGAAGAAGUACCUCGGUAUGUAAAGCUCUAUCAGCAGGGAAGAAGAUGACGGUACCUGACCAAGAAGCUCCGGCUAAAUACGUGCCAGCAGCCGCGGUAAUACGUAUGGAGCAAGCGUUAUCCGGAUUUACUGGGUGUAAAGGGAGCGCAGGCGGCCUUGCAAGUCUGAUGUGAAAGGCCGGGGCCCAACCCCGGGACUGCAUUGGAAACUGCGAGGCUGGAGUGUCGGAGAGGCAG
rnacentral:rRNA from 1 species